GAAGAUUGCAUUGGUUACAAGAGGGACCUGCUGACGCAGUUCACGAGCCAGUGACGUGGAGAACGAACACCCUGCUCUGGACCCCAGGGGCGUGCCGCCUGCAGCGCCGUCGGCCUACUCUAGCUCUAGUAGGCUUGCUCCCAUAGGACGCUCCUCCCGCCAUACCGAACAUGUUACUAGGUGCCAUCACUCCACCUCCUCUUCCAUUAUGACACUUCGUGGUCUGUUCAGCUUCAUACUUCCAUCUGCUCUUCGCUCAAUCCAAGGGUGGCCUGGCGAGACUCGGUCCCACGCCGAAGGUCCGGCCUCUUGUCGGGCACAUCAAUCUCAGAUACCGGUACGCCCCAGUGCACCCACAGCAACGCGCACAGAUACGUGCAAAGAUUCUGCUUGCCGAAGGCCCGUUCUACUCGACGCCGCGCGUCUUAGUCUCCAAGUUUGAGGCGCAUGCCGAGCCCGUCCCUGGGAGUUUAGCCGUGGAGGUAGCUGCCGAGACCGCGUGCAUAGGUGCGGAAUGUGUGAAGUGGAGGGACAGAGCCUAAAAUUGAAGACGUGUCUCAAUCGUUAAACGGUACAGGCUUGAUCUACUUGGCAAGCAGCAGCCGGUCACACGCAUUCUGGCGGCCGAGGGCGAGGGAGGCGGGAGCAGGAAGGCGAUAUCACGGUGCGUAUGCGGAUACAAGAUGCGCGGUGCGUGAGUGCAACAUAGUGACUGGCAAUGCACUUAGUAAUCUCAGACGCGCCACUAGAGCCUCUGGCUCCGUAACCGUGUUACACACGCAAUCAGCCACACGCUUGAAUGCACUGCCAUAAUCUGGCUGGGGUUAGCACAUAAACAGCAGCGUCGUCUGACACGGUUCGUACCUUGCUUCUCAGGCUGCCCUUUCCCUCGUACCCGGCACGAGACCCUCUUAACCUCUGACGUCCCUCCCGGUUCCGUCCCUUGGCGGGCACGGCCAUCAGCUGGCGGGUGACAAGGGCACGGCACGCAACUCCCUUACAUCAAGUGCGGCAGUCGGUGGUCGGUGGCACCCCCCCGGGUGCCAAGCCACCGACCAUCCCCAAUCGCCCAUCCAUUCAUGUAGCCUGCCACCUGCCGACCAUGUCACUGACCCCCCUGCCACUGUGUGUGUCACCUGUCACGCGACACCGCGCGGCGCGCGCCAACAAGACACCCUGCAUGGCGCACCCAUGGCGGCACCGCGGCACCUACCGCGGUGCUACGGCGCCACGGCGCCCAGCAAUCUAGGAGCGCG
rnacentral:lncRNA from 1 species